rnacentral:rRNA from 1 species
AUGCAUUGGAUGGCUUGGUGGAAAUUGUGUGUGCCCAAGAGCAAAGGAGGUAUGGGAUUUAGUGAUCAUUGUUUUAAAUUGGCAUUACUAGCUAAGCAAGCUUGGAGGUUAAUUGAGAACGCAGACUCGUUGUGUGUGCCAGUUCUUAAGGCCAAAUAUUUCCCACAUGAUGACUUGCUUAAUGCCAAAUUAAAGAAAGGUGCUUCUUUUACAUGGCAGAGUAUAAUGGCAAGUGUGGACACACUUAAACAUGGAUGCAUUUGGAGAGUUGGGAAUGGACAGAAAAUAAAUAUCUGGGAAGGUUCUUGGAUCCCAGGAUCUAUGAAUAGAAAGGUGAUAACAGUACAAGGUAAUCAUAUCAUAUCCGAAGUGGCUAACUUAAUUGACUCUAGUACCAACACUUGGGAUGAGGAUCUGGUGACGCAGACUUUUUGUCAUAUUAAUGUUCAGCGUAUUCUAUCUAUCCCGCUACCAAAUUUGAGAUGGGCGAUAUUAUUGCGUGGGGCUUAUCAAAAAAGUACACCAUCCCGUUGA